AGUGGCGGACGGGUGAGUAACACGUGAGCAACCUACCCAAGAGUGGGGGAUAACGUUUGGAAACGAACGCUAAUACCGCAUAAAAUUGCCGGGAGGCAUCUUCCAGGCAAUCAAAGGAUUAUUCGCUUUUGGAUGGGCUCGCGUCCGAUUAGAUAGUUGGUGAGGUAACGGCUCACCAAGUCUACGAUCGGUAGCCGGACUGAGAGGUUGAUCGGCCACAUUGGGACUGAGACACGGCCCAG
rnacentral:rRNA from 1 species